GAUGAAGAACGUAGCGAAAUGCGAUAAGUAAUGUGAAUUGCAGAAUUCAGUGAAUCAUCGAAUCUUUGAACGCACCUUGCACCCUUUGGCAUUCCGAAGGGUAUGCUCGUUUGAGUGUCAUUGUACUCUCACGCUCUCCGAUCCUAUGGAUUCGGGGAGCGGUGGACUUGGGUGUUGCUGCCUUUCCCUGUGGCUCACCUCAAAUGCGUCAGUGCACCUCUUGGUUGGACAUAGUACGGCGUGAUAAGUGUCUUCGCCGGCACCUCGCAAGAGGGUGGCCGAUCGGGAGCUCUGCGCUUUCAAACCGUCUUCGGACAAUUUCUGACAUCUUGACCUCAAAUCGAGUAGGACUACCCGCUGAACUUAAGCAUAUCAAUAAGCGGAGGA
rnacentral:misc_RNA from 1 species